UCUCAGGUAUCAGAGGGUGGAGUAGAACCUGGACAGGUCAGCUGUCUCAGGUAUCAGAGGGUGGAGUAGAAGCUGCUGUCUCAGGUAUCAGAGGGUGGAGUAGACCAUGCUGUCUCAGGUAUCAGAGGGUGGAGUAGAACCUGGACAGGUCAGAUGUCUCAGGUAUCAGAGGGUGGAGUAGAACCUGUUGUCUCAGGUAUCAGAGGGUGGAGUAGACCAUGCUGUCUCAGGUAUCAGAGGGUGGAGUAGAACUUGGACAGGUCAGAUGUCUCAGGUAUCAGAGGGUGGAGUAGAACCUGCUGUCUCAGGUAUCAGAGGGUGGAGUAGAACCUGCUGUCUCAGGUAUCAGAGGGUGGAGUAGAAGCUGCUGUCUCAGGUAUCAGAGGGUGGACUAAAACCUGCUGUCUCAGGUAUCAGAAGGUGGAGUAGAACCUGGACAGGUCAGAAGUCUCACGCAUCAG